GAGCUCAGCUAAAGUUUCCAAAAAGUUAGAAUAACUUCCUCUCUCCAAGACCUCAGUUUUUUUACACAACCUCGGUCCUUGAAAUAAGAGCCCUUCAAGCAACCUGGAAAACGUUUGGUCAGCAAAAAAAAAAAAAAAAAGGAAAAAAAAAGAAAAAAAGAGUCCUCCUGUUUUUCCAAAGGAUCUGUCUCAGGAAUUUAAAGCACAUUUAAGACACACACACACUCACAUAACAUAAGGAGGGGGGGAAAGGCUCUUCCCCUCCCCUUCUUGCAGAAAGCAUGGAAGAAAGCUCCAGUUCUCCUGUUUCCCCUGUGGAUAGCUUGGGGACCAGUGAAGAGGAGCUGGAAAGGCAGCCAAAGAGAUUUGGCAGGAAGAGAAGAUACAGUAAGAAGUCCAGCGAAGAUGGCAGCCCCAACCCAGGGAAGAGGGGGAAGAAGUCCAGUCCCAGCUCCCAAUCUUACGAAGAACUGCAGAGUCAGAGGAUCCUGGCCAACGUCAGAGAGAGGCAGAGGACUCAGUCGCUCAACGAAGCUUUUGCCGCCCUGAGGAAAAUCAUCCCCACGCUGCCCUCUGACAAACUGAGUAAAAUCCAGACGCUCAAGCUGGCGGCGCGGUACAUAGACUUCCUCUACCAGGUGCUACAGAGCGACGAGAUGGACAGUAAGAUGACGAGCUGCAGUUACGUGGCUCAUGAGAGGCUCAGUUAUGCCUUCUCCGUGUGGAGGAUGGAGGGAGCGUGGUCCAUGUCGGCCUCCCACUAGCGACCGCCCGGGCCGGGCCAGCCCAAGGGUGAAGGAGAGACACAGCACCUUGGGGCAAACAUUCCUGACUGCCCAAAUUUUGCUGCAGGGAGGCAGAACCUACCAGAGCAACUCUGAGCAUCCCAGCAGCUUCACUUUUCAGCAUUCCCUUCUCCUCCCUGUGACUGUCCAGUGUCUGCGACUGAAGUGGAAUUGGGAUAUAUCCAAGUUUGUAGCUUCUGAAACCUUAAAAACCUCAAGAAAACUGGUCCAAAAGACCCCUCUUGACCUCCCUCGCUCUGAACUCUUGCGGAGCAUUUUAGACUGAGCAGCAAAACAGCACCAAAGAGAAGGGGCUGAGACUUUGCAACAUCUCUCCCCAGAACGACUGACCAAAGAGAGAAGGAGAAGCAACAUUCCUGGUUGUUCAUUGUUGUUGGGAUUUUUUGUCUGUCUGUGCGUUUGGUGUUUUAUGGCUAAUUUUUUAUUUUAUUUUUUUAUUUUUAUUUUUUUCUGGAAACUCUCUUAAUUCAGGAACACGUUUAUGAGGCAUCUUUGGGUUUGACUUUUACUACCCCUUAACUGCAUUCUUCUUUUUUAUUUUGUUUUUUUUAAAUUCCAAACCCCAUUUCUUGUACAGCAAAACUGGACCAAGGCUCUCAGCAAAAAAAAGGAAAGGAAGGAAAAAAACCCCACCAUGCCCCUAGCUCCCUCCAUGAUUUGUUUCAAGUACAGCCUGGAUCACAGACUGCCCUCCACACUCUGCCAUCCUUCCCUUAUUGCUCCAUGAUUUGCUACCGCUCAUCCCCUUCCCCCUUUUUUUAUUUUUUUUUUAUUUUUUUUUUAUAUUGUUUUGUUUUGUUUUCAUUUUCUGUUCCAGUGUAUAUGUUGCUUAUUUGUUUUAUUUAUUGAGAUAUUUUUAACGAGCUAAGAGACUGCAAUGUCGCUGUGUAUACUGCUUCUCUUGCCAGUAAAAAUAAAGAUGUCAUGCAGCUA